GUUUGCAUUUGAAGCUGAACGGAAAGCUUUGUGAUUUGUAUUAAAAUGAAGUUAUAUUUGGCCCUGGUUUGUCUGGUGCUGGUGGGUUAUGUGGCCCACAGCGAGGCGAGAAGAAAGAAACUGCCACAAUGUCCUGGACGACCUAUUAAACAGAGCUGCAAUAUACGCAGAGAUCUUGGUCACGAUCGCUAUAAUUGGUGCAAGGAUUUCGCGAUGCCCGAGAUGUGGUAUUACAACAUAUUGCAUCAAUCCUGCAACAGGAUGCUUUUUCUUGGCUGCGCUGGCAACUUUAAUCGUUUUUGCACAGAAGCCGAGUGCCAGCGAACGUGUCUGUCUUCAGACGAAGGCAUACAUUAACAAAUGUUAUUAAUUAUAUACACUAUAUAUACAAUAGCAAUAUUAUGUAUUGUAGGCGGAAUACAAUAAUUCAAAUAAAGUGUAUUCUAUUGCGCCCUAA